CUUAAAUUAAUACGUGAGCACUUAAUAUCACCAAGUUUUAAUUAUUGUGAGCUGACUGAGCAGUGAGUUGGAAAAAUUUUUAAAUUGGAUAUUGCAUCGAUGUAGCUUUGAAAAUAUCUAUUACCGGAAAAUUACCGCAGUAGAUUAUAUCAAAGACGAAUUAGCUGAAAAUAACUACGAUUGGAUUUUAUUGACUAUGAGAAAUAUAAAAAUAUAUUUUAUUAAA